CGCGUAGGCGGCGCGAGCAGUCGAUCGUGAAAGUCCGGAGCUCAACUCCGGAUCGGCGGUCGAUACUCUCGUGCUUGAGCACUGUAGAGGCAGAUGGAAUUCCGGGUGUAGCGGUGGAAUGCGUAGAGAUCCGGAAGAACACCGGUGGCGAAGGCGGUCUGCUGGGCAGUUGCUGACGCUGAGGCGCGACAGCGGUGGGGAGACAAACGA
rnacentral:rRNA from 1 species